rnacentral:rRNA from 1 species
GAUGAACGCUGGCGGCGUGCCUAAUACAUGCAAGUCGAGCGAACAGAUAAGGAGCUUGCUCCUUUGACGUUAGCGGCGGACGGGUGAGUAACACGUGGGUAACCUACCUAUAAGACUGGGAUAACUUCGGGAAACCGGAGCUAAUACCGGAUAAUAUUUCGAACCGCAUAGUUCGAUAGUGAAAGAUGGUUUUGCUUUCACUUAUAGAUGAACCCGCGCCGUAUUAGCUAGUUGUUAAGGUAACGGCUUACCAAGGCGACGAUACGUAGCCGACCUGAGAGGGUGAUCGGCCACACUGGAACUGAGACACGGUCCAGACUCCUACGGGAGGCAGCAGUAGGGAAUCUUCCGCAAUGGGCGAAAGCCUGACGGAGCAACGCCGCGUGAGUGAUGAAGGUCUUCGGAUCGUAAAACUCUGUUAUUAGGGAAGAACAUACGUGUAAGUAACUGUGCACGUCUUGACGGUACCUAAUCAGAAAGCCACGGCUAACUACGUG